rnacentral:rRNA from 1 species
UACAGAGGUCCCAAGCGUUGUUCGGAUUCACUGGGCGUAAAGGGUGCGUAGGCGGUCGGGUAAGUCUGAUGUGAAAUCUCACAGCUUAACUGUGAAACUGCAUUGGAUACUAUCCGGCUCGAGGAAUGGAGGGGAGACUGGAAUACUUGGUGUAGCAGUGAAAUGCGUAGAUAUCAAGUGGAAUACCAGUGGCGAAGGCGAGUCUCUGGACAUUUCCUGACGCUGAGGCACGAAAGCCAGGGGAGCAAACGGG